GUGACUGCGUACCUUUUGUAUAAUGGGUCAGCGACUUAUAUUCUGUAGCAAGGUUAACCGAAUAGGGGAGCCGGAGGGAAACCGAGUCUUAAUUGGGCGUUAAGUUGCAGGGUAUAGACCCGAAACCCGGUGAUCUAGCCAUGGGCAGGUUGAAGGUUGGGUAACACUAACUGGAGGACCGAACCGACUAAUGUUGAAAAAUUAGCGGAUGACCUGUGGCUGGGGGUGAAAGGCCAAUCAAACCGGGAGAUAGCUGGUUCUCCCCGAAAGCUAUUUAGGUAGCGCCUCGUGAAUUCAUCUCCGGGGGUAGAGCACUGUUUCGGCUAGGGGGCCAUCCCGGCUUACCAACCCGAUGCAAACUGCGAAUACCGGAGAAUGUUAUCACGGGAGACACACGGCGGGUGCUAACGUCCGUCGUGAAGAGGGAAACAACCCAGACCGCCAGCUAAGGUCCCAAAGUCAUGGUUAAGUGGGAAACGAUGUGGGAAGGCCCAGACAGCCAGGAUGUUGGCUUAGAAGCAGCCAUCAUUUAAAGAAAGCGUAAUAGCUCACUGGUCGAGUCGGCCUGCGCGGAAGAUGUAACGGGGCUAAACCAUGCACCGAAGCUGCGGCAGCGACACUCAGGUGUUGUUGGGUAGGGGAGCGUUCUGUAAGCCUGUGAAGGUGGCCUGUGAGGGUUGCUGGAGGUAUCAGAAGUGCGAAUGCUGACAUAAGUAACGAUAAAGCGGGUGAAAAGCCCGCUCGCCGGAAGACCAAGGGUUCCUGUCCAACGUUAAUCGGGGCAGGGUGAGUCGACCCCUAAGGCGAGGCCGAAAGGCGUAGUCGAUGGGAAACGGGUUAAUAUUCCCGUACUUGGUGUUACUGCGAAGGGGGGACGGAGAAGGCUAUGUUGGCCGGGCGACGGUUGUCCCGGUUUAAGCGUGUAGGUGUGUGUUCCAGGUAAAUCCGGUUCACUUUAACACUGAGGCGUGAUGACGAGGCACUACGGUGCUGAAGCAACAAAUGCCCUGCUUCCAGGAAAAGCCUCUAAGCAUCAGGUAACAUCAAAUCGUACCCCAAACCGACACAGGUGGUCAGGUAGAGAAUACCAAGGCGCUUGAGAGAACUCGGGUGAAGGAACUAGGCAAAAUGGUGCCGUAACUUCGGGAGAAGGCACGCUGACACGUAGGUGAAGUGAUUUACUCAUGGAGCUGAAGUCAGUCGAAGAUACCAGCUGGCUGCAACUGUUUAUUAAAAACACAGCACUGUGCAAACACGAAAGUGGACGUAUACGGUGUGACGCCUGCCCGGUGCCGGAAGGUUAAUUGAUGGGGUCAGCGCAAGCGAAGCUCCUGAUCGAAGCCCCGGUAAACGGCGGCCGUAACUAUAACGGUCCUAAGGUAGCGAAAUUCCUUGUCGGGUAAGUUCCGACCUGCACGAAUGGCGUAAUGAUGGCCAGGCUGUCUCCACCCGAGACUCAGUGAAAUUGAACUCGCUGUGAAGAUGCAGUGUACCCGCGGCAAGACGGAAAGACCCCGUGAACCUUUACUAUAGCUUGACACUGAACAUUGAGCCUUGAUGUGUAGGAUAGGUGGGAGGCUUUGAAGUGUGGACGCCAGUCUGCAUGGAGCCGACCUUGAAAUACCACCCUUUAAUGUUUGAUGUUCUAACGUGGACCCGUAAUCCGGGUUGCGGACAGUGUCUGGUGGGUAGUUUGACUGGGGCGGUCUCCUCCUAAAGAGUAACGGAGGAGCACGAAGGUUGGCUAAUCCUGGUCGG
rnacentral:rRNA from 1 species